rnacentral:rRNA from 1 species
CAAUAGCGUAUAUUAAAGUUGUUGCAGUUAAAAAGCUCGUAGUUGGAUUUCUGGCAGGAGCGACCGGUCGCACGCCAUGCGUGUGAACUUGUGUUGUCUCUGGCCAUCCUUGGGGAGAUCCCGUUUGGCAUUAAGUUGUCGGGCGGGGGAUACCCAUCGUUUACUGUGAAAAAAUUAGAGUGUUUAAAGCAGGCUUAUGCCGUUGAAUACAUUAGCAUGGAAUAAUAAGAUAGGACCGCGUGGUCGUCUUGUUGGUUUGCACCGCGAGGUAAUGAUUAAUAGGUACAGUUGGGGGUAUUCGUAUUAAUUGUCAGAGGUGAAAUUCUUGGAUUAACGGAAGAUGAACUACUGCGAAAGCAUCUGCCAAGGAUGUUUUCAUUGAUCAAGAACGAAAGUUAGGGGAUCGAAGACGAUCAGAUACCAU